rnacentral:tRNA from 1 species
CUGUAGCCCAGCUGGAUAGAGCGUUUGGCUACGAACCAAAAGGUCGGGGGUUCGAAUCCCUCCA